rnacentral:rRNA from 1 species
UAAAACGUAGGAGGCGAGCGUUAUCCGGAGUUACUGGGCGUAAAGCGUCUGUAGGCGGUUUUCCAAGUUGCGUGUGAAAGCGCCCGGCUAAACUGGGCGAAGCCACGUAAGACUGGGAGACUAGAGGGUGGUAGAGGGGCGUGGAAUUCCGGGUGUAGCGGUGAAAUGUGUAGAGAUCCGGAGGAACACCAGUGGUGCAGACGGCGCCCUGGGCCACUACUGACGCUGAUAGACGAAAGCGUGGGGAGCGAACGGGAUUAGAGACCCCGGUAGUCCACGCCGUAAACGAUGCUUGCUAGGUGUUCACUCGCAAGAGGGAGUGCCGAAGCUAACGCGCUAAGCAAGCCGCCUGGGGAGUACGGUCGCAAGGCUA